rnacentral:rRNA from 1 species
CUUGACAUCCAGAGAACUUGGCAGAGAUGCCUUGGUGGCCCUUCGGGAACUCUGAGACAGGUGCUGCAUGGCUGUCGUCAGCUCGUGUUGUGAAAUGUUGGGUUAACGUCCGCAACGAGCGCAACCCCUAUCCUUUGUUGCCAGCGAUUCGGUCGGGAACUCAAAGGAGACUGCCGGUGAUAAACCGGAGGAAGGUGGGGAUGACGUCAAGUCAUCAUGGCCCUUACGAGUAGGGCUACACACGUGCUACAAUGGCGUAUACAAAGAGAAGCGACCUCGCGAGAGCAAGCGGACCUCAUAAAGUACGUCGUAGUCCGGAUUGGAGUCUGCAACUCGACUCCAUGAAGUCGGAAUCGCUAGUAAUCGUAGAUCAGAAUGCUACGGUGAAUACGUUCCCGGGCCUUGUACACACCGCCCGUCACACCAUGGGAGUGGGUUGCAAAAGAAGUAGAUAGCUUAACCUUCGGGAGGGCGUUUACCACUUUGUGAUUCAUGACUGGGGUGAAGUCGUAACAAGGUAGGCGUAGCGAG